AUUGAACGCUGGCGGCAGGCCUAACACAUGCAAGUCGAGCGAGCGGCGGACGGGUGAGUAAUGUCUGGGAAACUGCCUGAUGGAGGGGGAUAACUACUGGAAACGGUAGCUAAUACCGCAUACCAUCAGAUUUUCCCAGAUGGGAUUAGCUAGUGGGUGGGGUAACGGCUCACCUAGGCGACGAACCCUAGCUGGGCUGCGAGGAUGACCAGCCACACUGGAACUGAGACACGUCCCAGACUCCUACGGGAGGCAGCAGUGGGGAAUAUUGGACAAGGGGCGAAAGCCUGAUGGAGCCAUGCCGCGUGUGUGAAGAAGGCCUUCGGGUGGUAAAGCACUUUGAGCGGAGAGGCGGUACCCGCAGAGGAAGCACCGGCUAACUCCGUGCCAGCAGCCGCGGUAAUAC
rnacentral:rRNA from 1 species